GAUCUCAGGUAAACCAUUCAUGAGCCUGAGGCUGUGAGAAAUGCUUGCUGCACCAAGGGGAACUCUCACCAGAUUUCCUGAAGCUGUCCUAGAAAUAUACUUUUCAGAUUGAGUCAGCAUUACCAGCUUAUCCAAGAAAAGUCUUAACAUAUUCAUUAACAACGUCGAAAGUAGCCUACUUUAAGAGAAAAUAUGCAGAAGAAGAAGAUUUACAUCAAGAUUACCAUGGGUAUUUUCCAAAACACCUGAUACUGCCCGAAGACAGGACUUGCAUUCUCAAACUUUCUCUAGAGAAGCUCAGGUUUCUAGAAGAUCCAGAAACCUACUUAAGAAGGUCUGUGUUAAUUAACAACUUGCUGAGGAAACUCCAUCUAGAGACGGAGAAAGAGCGCUAUGAAUACUUUAAGGAAGCUCCCUGCUAUAAGACUGCUUAUUCUGAUACAAGAAAACGGCUGAAGUUUAUGGUACAGGAACGCUGUUCCCAGUCUCUCUAUUACGAAGAGCUACAUUCGUACCAUAUUGUGCCUUAUGCUUCAGAGAAUGCAAUUUAUGGAAUGGGCUACACAGGCAGCCCCUUGGAGCAAAAUUCUCAGUUGCUUAUUUAUAAAAUGAAUUAAAGUAACUGUUAAGUCCAUUG